UUUGAGAGAUUGAUUUUGGCAAACAAAAAUACACUCUCAAUUUUAUAAGGUGAUGUUUGUGGUGACCUUAAUGAAGAAAACAGAGAGUAGUUGAGAAGGUCAAUCAUAGUGAAAUUCUUAAUGAAGGAACCAGGGUUCCGACAGAGAUGGUGCGGGGAGCAUCAGAAACCAAGUUUGUGUAGCAGCAAGCGGGCACGUGGUGACAAAAAACGUCCGGCAGAGGAGCAGAGGAUGUGGUUGGCAGCAUUGAGAGUAGAGGCAGCUGAGCCGCCCAUCCUAAGCGUGGCGACAACUUUUCGAAUAGUGGAUAAGAGUUGUCAUGAUAGGUUGAAUUUUUUUUUUCAAUUUCCUAUGUUAAUCGUCCCGUAGAUGAGUGCAAUCGAACUGAAAACUAAUUGUUGCAAAAGACUGAUAUGUAUGGAACAAGAGUGUCUCGAGUUUUCGAAAGUGGUAUAUGCUUUGAUUAAAAAUGGAUAGGAUAAAUGUAGAUGGGUGGUCUAUAACUUUGGUUUAAAUUUUUAAAUUUUUUUCUCUGUGAUUAAUUCAUGAGGGGGAAAGGAAUUUCAUUAGGGACAUUUUCUGCAGUAAUUUUUUGGAGCAUUUUGUCUGCAGUAGUUAUUGGGUCAAAGGAAAAGAGUUGCCAAUUACAUGCUUGAAGAAUUUGAAUUCAAUGCUACCAGCAUUCCAACAAUGCCACAGCUCCAACAAAUACUUACCGUCUAUGGUCCUACUGUUUUCUUUCAUCCCGAGGAAGUUUACUUACCGUCUACAAAGCUUGGAAUUGGGAUUCUGAAUGAUGCUACUAGUCUACUAGAAGCAAUUUGUAUGUAGAUUUUAGUACUCCGUACGAAGUUGUUGCAGCUAAAUGUAAUGAAUUAUAUAUUUUAUUUAUA